ACGCAGCCAUGUGGUGAGCACAAAGCGAACUAUUCUUUCGCCUUUUACUAAAGAAUACCGUGUGCUCUCCACGCUAAGUGGCAUACGCCUAUUUUUGGAGGGUCCUGCUUUCGAGUGGGCCCAACAAUUGUUUAGUUGAAAAUUUGGAAUUAUUUAUACGUUAGAGCUUGUAAGUCAGAUGUUUACUAAGGGCAAUAAAUCAUUUGCUAUUUCUUUGUAAAAUUGCCUAACGACAAAUUUGUUGUGUUAGCUUUUUCCAUAUUUUAUUGUUGUAAGAUUAACUUACCAAUUUCUAUCAAUCACACUACACCACCAAAGUAAUAAGCUCUUGAAGAUA